rnacentral:rRNA from 1 species
UGUUUCGGCUAGGGGGCCAUCCCGGCUUACCAACCCGAUGCAAACUGCGAAUACCGGAGAAUGUUAUCACGGGAGACACACGGCGGGUGCUAACGUCCGUCGUGAAGAGGGAAACAACCCAGACCGCCAGCUAAGGUCCCAAAGUCAUGGUUAAGUGGGAAACGAUGUGGGAAGGCCCAGACAGCCAGGAUGUUGGCUUAGAAGCAGCCAUCAUUUAAAGAAAGCGUAAUAGCUCACUGGUCGAGUCGGCCUGCGCGGAAGAUGUAACGGGGCUAAACCAUGCACCGAAGCUGCGGCAGCGAACGUAUCACUUAAAGCGAUUCAGCGGGUUACGAUUGACGGAGCGAAGCGACGUCAAAGCGUAUACAAAGUCGAGUCGGUUUAAGGAUACGUUCGUUGGGUAGGGGAGCGUUCUGUAAGCCUGUG